rnacentral:rRNA from 1 species
GACGAACGCUGGCGGCGUGCUUAACACAUGCAAGUCGAACGCUGAACCCGCUUCGGUGGGGGAUGAGUGGCGAACGGGUGCGUAACACGUGGGCAACCUGCCCCCGGCUCUGGGAUAACUCCAAGAAAUUGGGGCUAAUACCGGAUGUGACCGCUGGCCGCAUGGUCUGGUGGUGGAAAGGGUUUCCGGCUGGGGAUGGGUCCGCGGCCUAUCAGCUUGUUGGUGGGGUAGUGGCCUACCAAGGCGACGACGGGUAGCCGGCCUGAGAGGGUGACCGGCCACACUGGGACUGAGACACGGCCCAGACUCCUACGGGAGGCAGCGGUGGGGAAUAUUGCGCAAUGGGCGGAAGCCUGACGCAGCGACGCCGCGUGGGGGAUGACGGCCUUCGGGUUGUAAACCUCUUUCAGCAGGGACGAAGCGCAAGUGACGGUACCUGCAGAAGAAGCACCGGCCAACUACGUG